rnacentral:rRNA from 1 species
UACGUAGGUAGCGAGCGUUAUCCGGAAUUAUUGGGCGUAAAGGGUGCGUAGGCGGCCUGUUAAGUUGGAUGUGAAAGCCCCGGGCUCAACCUGGGAAUGGCAUCUGAUACUGGCAGGCUGGAGUGCGGCAGAGGAUGGUGGAAUUCCCGGUGUAGCGGUGAAAUGCGUAGAGAUCGGGAGGAACAUCGAUGGCGAAGGCAGCCAUCUGGGCCAGCACUGACGCUGAGGCACGAAAGCGUGGGGAGCAAACAGG